rnacentral:rRNA from 1 species
UUCGCCCUUAGAGUUUGAUCCUGGCUCAGGACGAACGCUGGCGGCGCGCCUAACACAUGCAAGUCGAACGAGAGAUGAGGAGCUUGCUCUUCAAAUCGAGUGGCGAACGGGUGAGUAACGCGUGAGGAACCUGCCUCAAAGAGGGGGACAACAGUUGGAAACGACUGCUAAUACCGCAUAAGCCCACGGCUCGGCAUCGAGCAGAGGGAAAAGGAGCAAUCCGCUUUGAGAUGGCCUCGCGUCCGAUUAGCUAGUUGGUGAGGUAACGGCCCACCAAGGCGACGAUCGGUAGCCGGACUGAGAGGUUGAACGGCCACAUUGGGACUGAGACACGGCCCAGACUCCUACGGGAGGCAGCAGUGGGGAAUAUUGCACAAUGGGGGAAACCCUGAUGCAGCGACGCCGCGUGGAGGAAGAAGGUCUUCGGAUUGUAAACUCCUGUUGUUGAGGAAGAUAAUGACGGUACUCAACAAGGAAGUGACGGCUAACUACGUGCCAGCAGCCGCGGUAAAACGUAGGUCACAAGCGUUGUCCGGAAUUACUGGGUGUAAAGGGAGCGCAGGCGGGAGAACAAGUUGGAAGUGAAAUCCAUGGGCUCAACCCAUGAACUGCUUUCAAAACUGUUUUUCUUGAGUAGUGCAGAGGUAGGCGGAAUUCCCGGUGUAGCGGUGGAAUGCGUAGAUAUCGGGAGGAACACCAGUGGCGAAGGCGGCCUACUGGGCACCAACUGACGCUGAGGCUCGAAAGUGUGGGUAGCAAACAGGAUUAGAUACCCUGGUAGUCCACACCGUAAACGAUGAUACUAGGUGUUGGAGGAUUGACCCCUUCAGUGCCGCAGUUAACACAAUAAGUAAUCCACCUGGGGAGUACGACCGCAAGGUUGAAACUCAAAGGAAUUGACGGGGGCCCGCACAAGCAGUGGAGUAUGUGGUUUAAUUCGACGCAACGCGAAGAACCUUACCAAGUCUUGACAUCCCUUGACGAUGCCGGAAACAGUAUUUCUCUUCGGAGCAAGGAGACAGGUGGUGCAUGGUUGUCGUCAGCUCGUGUCGUGAGAUGUUGGGUUAAGUCCCGCAACGAGCGCAACCCUUAUGGUCAGUUACUACGCAAGAGGACUCUGGCCAGACUGCCGUUGACAAAACGGAGGAAGGUGGGGAUGACGUCAAAUCAUCAUGCCCUUUAUGACUUGGGCUACACACGUACUACAAUGGCGUUAAACAAAGAGAAGCAAGACCGCGAGGUGGAGCAAAACUCAGAAACAACGUCCCAGUUCGGACUGCAGGCUGCAACUCGCCUGCACGAAGUCGGAAUUGCUAGUAAUCGUGGAUCAGCAUGCCACGGUGAAUACGUUCCCGGGCCUUGAACUCACCGCCCGUCA